rnacentral:rRNA from 1 species
GAUGAACGCUGGCGGCGUGCCUAAUACAUGCAAGUCGAGCGAACGGACGAGAAGCUUGCUUCUCUGAUGUUAGCGGCGGACGGGUGAGUAACACGUGGAUAACCUACCUAUAAGACUGGGAUAACUUCGGGAAACCGGAGCUAAUACCGGAUAAUAUUUUGAACCGCAUGGUUCAAAAGUAAAAGACGGUCUUGCUGUCACUUAUAGAUGGAUCCGCGCUGCAUUAGCUAGUUGGUAAGGUAACGGCUUACCAAGGCAACGAUGCAUAGCCGACCUGAGAGGGUGAUCGGCCACACUGGAACUGAGACACGGUCCAGACUCCUACGGGAGGCAGCAGUAGGGAAUCUUCCGCAAUGGGCGAAAGCCUGACGGAGCAACGCCGCGUGAGUGAUGAAGGUCUUCGGAUCGUAAAACGCUGUUAUUAGGGAAGAACAUAUGUGUAAGUAACUGUGCACAUCUUGACGGUACCUAAUCAGAAAGCCACGGCUAACUACGU